UUUAUGAAAGAUUAACUUCUGCGAAAGCAUCUGCCAAGGAUGUUUUCAUUAAUCAAGAACGAAAGUUAGGGGAUCGAAGACGAUCAGAUACCGUCGUAGUCUUAACCAUAAACGAUGCCGACCAGCGAUUAGGAGACGUUGAAUACAAAACACCACCAUCGGCGCGGUCGUCCUUGGCGUUGUCGGCUUCACGGCUGGCGGCGCGAGGGCGGUUUAGCCCGGUGGCACCGGUGAAUGACUCCCCUAGCAGCUUGUGAGAAA
rnacentral:rRNA from 1 species